rnacentral:tRNA from 1 species
GCCCGGGUGGCGGAAUGGCAGACGCGGGGGAUUCAAAAUCCCCUAUCCGAAAGGGUGUGUGGGUUCGAAUCCCACCCCGGGCA